rnacentral:lncRNA from 1 species
GUACACUUAUUAAACACAUUUAAUUUUCUACAAUCUGGGACAGAUCAUCUACCUUUUACUGGUGUGUGUUUGUUUCUUGAAUAUAGGCAAGGAUAGGUAAGGCAUGUUUUUGGUAGCAUGAAUUUAAAUUUAAGUUCCUCUGAUGUAUUCUAGGUACCAGACUGAGGUUGUACAAUUUUAACAGGGAUCCAUGGAAAUGAUUGACUUUUGGCAGUGCUUCGACCCAUGACAGCAUGUGAGAUUGACAUGUCUUUCCACUAACAAUCCUUACCUUGAUUAAAUCAAAGAUCUGUGCUGCUUUCAGUCUUCUGGCAAUGCACAGUGUUUGACUCAUAACUCUUCAAGUUUUCGAGAAGAAGUGACUAUGGCUGUUCAUUCUUAAAUGGGACAUAUUGAAAGACCUCAGAAGAGGUACUUUCGUAGAAGGAGAACCGCACCCAGGAAUCAGCGAGACUACGAACUUGGAUGCAAAAGCAAAAGGCUUUAUUGAAAACACGGGCUCAGGGAACACUACAGAAGAGGUGGCAGAGUUUAAGAGUGGGAAUAAGGAAGAAUGCUAUGAAGUUCCAUCUUCUGAAUAUGGAAAAUGGAUGGAACUGGAGAUCAUGAUUGAUUAGGACAACAUGAUUGAU